rnacentral:rRNA from 1 species
AUUGAACGCUGGCGGCAUGCCUUACACAUGCAAGUCGAACGGCAGCGCGGGCUUCGGCCUGGCGGCGAGUGGCGGACGGGUGAGUAAUGCAUCGGAACGUGCCCAGGAGUGGGGGAUAACGUAGCGAAAGUUACGCUAAUACCGCAUACGUACUGAGGUAGAAAGCGGGGGAUCGAAAGACCUCGCGCUCAUGGAGCGGCCGAUGUCGGAUUAGCUAGUUGGUGAGGUAAAAGCUCACCAAGGCUACGAUCCGUAGCUGGUCUGAGAGGACGACCAGCCACACUGGGACUGAGACACGGCCCAGACUCCUACGGGAGGCAGCAGUGGGGAAUCUUGGACAAUGGGCGCAAGCCUGAUUCAGCCAUGCCGCGUGGGUGAAGAAGGCCUUCGGGUUGUAAAGCCCUUUUGUUGGGAAAGAAAAGCAGUCGGUUAAUACCCGAUUGUUCUGACGGUACCCAAAGAAUAAGCACCGGCUAACUUCGUGCCAGCCGCCGCGGUAA